UUGGUCCGCACUCUCCAGACAGGCUAGGCUCUGCUGAAGAACUAAUGGUAGCAGUCCUGCACACGGAAAACUUACAUUGCCUCUCAUUGGGGGUAAAUUAUCUACAAUAAUUUAAAUUCGUAAAAGGCAUUUGUAAUCGCAGUAGGGUUGGUUGUACGGAGAUAACUGAUAAAGGCAUAAUUCACUAGCCACCGUUCAGCUGUAUUAGCAUGGAAGUUUGCACUGCUACUAUAUCGAUCCCUUAACUAUACAUACAUUGUAUCGUUAGCUUUACGUACGGAAUUUUCAGUAUUCGUUUAUUUCCGCUUUUUGCUUGUUUUGUUGAGCGCUACUACUAUGUAAAAUAUUCUCAUAAUGGACAAAGACUUGUUGAGACAGUGUCUGACUUAUCAUGGAGAGUCAUUAUUCAACACGCUUAAAUGUGAACAGACUGAAAACCCAGACUUUCAAGCCGUUGUGACUGACGUUUGCAAGGCUGUACAUGAAAGCAAUGGUGAAGGGAAGAGCAACCCCCUUGUGGAGCAGUUCAUAGCCAGGAAGGCUGACAUUCUUUUCUGUCCAUCGUGGAAGAUAGCAGCUCCUAAAGAGGAGAAGCAUGGCGACGAAGAGGCUGCAGAGCCUUAUGCUGUCAUGCCACCCCUGGAGUUAUUCAUGGGUGUAUCCUUUGAGGAAAGAAGGGCCAUGCUGUAUCGGGAUUUGGAACGAGGAGACGUUGUGGUUGGGAGGAUCAACAAUAUUAGAGAAUAUGGCUUUUUUCUCACUCUCAUUUGCAUGGCGGGAGGAAUGAAUCGAGACAUAGAAGACCUGGAGUUAUCUGCUCUUUGUCACAUUAGGGAAAUUCCCUCAGGUGGCAGCCACGACGAUCCUUUGGCCUACUACCAGAUUGGAGACUUAAUCAGAGCUGGCGUGAAAGACAUUGACCGCUACCAGGAAAAAAUCACUUUGUCACUCCUGCAAGCAUCCCUUUCAUCCAGAUCGGCAUGCGUCCAACUGGGAGUCAUAACCAGGGAGGAGCUGCCUGUUCACUAUAAUCGUAGUGUCCGUGUAGCCAGUGACUCCAGGGAGACAUACGAACAUAUACUGAGCGGUUGCCACGGCUACCACAACCCCUCUGUUGUGGACUACUUGCUGGAGAACAUUGGCGUUAGUGACAUCCACCCACCUUCAAUGAUGAGAGGGCUACAAAGUAAACUGUUUGAAAAAGAAGAUUUUGCAUCUGCGAUCCGGGAAAAGCAGUCUGCAUGCUGGGCUUUGAAAUGUGUCAAGGCAGGUGUGGACCACUUCAAGAAUAACCGCCAUGUAGAAGCCAUGAAUGAGUACAACAAAGCUUUGGACAUUGACACAAAAAAUGUGGAAGCACUGGUAGCUCGGGGAGCUCUGUAUGGUAAUAAAGGCAGCAUCUUGAAGGCUAUAUCAGACUUUGAACUGGCCCUGGAGACCUGCCCUGAUCACCGCAAUGCCAAGAAGUACCUCUGCCAAACACUGGUUGAGAGAGGAAAACAACUGGAGGAACAGGAUAAACUAGUAACAGCAGAAGGGGUGUACAGAAGAGCUCUUUCGCUGGAUAAUGCAAACCCUGAGGCCCAGGAAGCCUUGAACAAGAUCACGGAGACUAUACAGGUGAGUGGGCAUCGACACAUAAGUGCUUUAUGUGUAACGCACAGAGGAUACUGUGGGUAUUUGUAUUUUUAUUUUUUUUUAAAGAUCAAAUACAAAUACAGUUUUGAGUAUGCGGCCCUUCAUGCUGUACAAAAGAGAUCUCUGAAAUCAUUUUGAAUGACAAAACAUUAAUUUCACAUUUUCAGCACUCAACCUGUCCAACAUUAAAGACGAUCUUUGAAAUGAUUGGUUGCUAAAUGUUGCUAGAUAGAUGUUUGUUUCACUGCAUCAUUUUCACCUCCUCUUUAAAGAAAUUCAGAAACAAUGCCCAAAACGCCUUACCUCAGUAGUAUAAGUUCAUAAAUACACAGGACUUCAUGGAAAAUGUAAUUAUAUGAGGCGUGGAUGCUGCGAGUGGCGUGGGAACUUUAUCUCAGCCACGGGAAGGAUGUCAACUUUGGGACACAUCAUCAGUAGUGUACCUUUUGAAUCAGUGGGUGUUUCGGCCUUUCAACACUAGACACCCUCUUCAGAGGCGGCCAACUACAGCGUGAUCAAGCCUGAGCCUGUGUCCCAUGACCAAUCAUGAGUAAAGUAGUGCCUGCAAAGUGGAGGGAGAUGAGCUAGUCAGUAAGGUCCAGACCUGGGAUAAAAAAAAAACCUGCCCCGCCCACUGGGUCAUUGCUCAGCACCCAUCCCUCCUUCCCCCCCACACCCCACUCUUGAGUAAGGGCAGGAAGGAAGAAGGUGGGUUUAAAACUUCUUUAGGGUCGUCAGGUGGGUACCGUCCUUCAUUGGUGUUUCGCUGAUAGGCCCACUGAUAGGCCCAUGACACCUCCAGAGAGCUCAUCGGCAACACCUGGUGUCCCAGGUGUGUGCCCCCCUCUGCUUUGAGCCCAGCAAGUAUCCUUGCGCUUGAUCCAUAGCCACUGGCGCCAUUUUAGAUUAGAAUAUCCCACAAAAAGUUGUACACAAUUAGUAACUAUUAUAACACCCACGUAUUUUUAUUAGACUUCUCAAAUGGUUAAAGUUUUUUAAUCAGGUUAAUUACAAUUUUCAAAUUCAUUGAAAAGUAUGAUUAAUGAUUAAUCACCAUUUGAAACUAUGUCUGAAAUUUAUAAAUUUUUAGCGUAUUUUAUUGACAGAAAGGAAAUAAAUGACAAGACAUGAUUUUAUAUAUAUAUAUAUAUAUAUAUAUAUAUAUAUAUAUAUAUAUAUUUGUAUGUAUUAACAUUUAAAUCAAGCUAAAAGAUACCACUCAUGUCUGAAAAUCUAUUUACCUACAGUCACUCAAAAGAAGCAGAACAUUUGAAUCACACUUUUACCGUGGUAUGAGCAAUGAGGGAAAAAUUAGGGCCAGAGCACAAAAGACCCAUUUAAGUUGAAUUCACGUUUUCUGGGAUUUCCGAGCACACUUAAAUGCUGGUAAGCAUAUCCACUUAUUGUUUUUCUUUUGUCUUUUUGUUUAUUUAGACCAUACAUACACACAUAAUAAAUGUUUGAGUUCAGAAUGUCGGUGCAUGCACGCCAUGGUUGUGUGGUCUGAAUGAGGAAGCGUCCUUUCCUAGGAUGAAUGGAGAAACGUGUUUGCGAUUUGGAGAUACAUGUAUGGUGUUGGAUUUGCACUGCUGUUGAUGUGUUCAGCUCAAAAUAAAGUUAUAAGGGAGUGUGUGACUCUGGGGACGCUACACUGUACCUCCGUCUGCUGUCAUAACAGGUGUGGCUUGCCAUGACGUGUUGAUUAAAAAUGUUAACAUAAAAAAUGAGAUAAAUGUGUUACUACUGUUAACAUGUUAUUUUUGACAGGCCUAAUUUUUUUAGUUGCUUGGAAAAGAUGAUCACAGUACGAACCCUAACGCAACAACAUACAGUAUAUAGUAUAAUUCGGAGUGGUCAAGUGGCAGCAAAGUGAGAUCAGUGCAAUUAAGCCUUCCCAAUGCUGAUAAUUUAGUCAUUGUUUUAUACAUACUCAAGUGCUUUGUACAGUAAUACUGAUGAGUUCUUUUCUUUUUUUUUUGGCAUAUGCACAUGUUUGUGACCCUGGGACUUGACCUUCUGACUGACACGGCCUUUUGUCACCUGCCUUGCGGGGGGAUAAUAACCCUGGAAAUUGAUGACUCCUCCUCUGCACACUCUUGCAUCCCUCGUCCAUGAUCGGAAUACGGAUGAAACGAAAACGAAAGAGAUCGGCCUCUUCCUCUUCAUCAUCCUCUUCCUCUAGGAACUCUUCCACGUCAUCGUCCUCUUCGGAUCACAGGAGGUCCAAAAAGAAGAAGAAGAAGAAGAAGAGGAGGUCACAGCGGG